CCCAGACUCCUACGGGAGGCAGCAGUGGGGAAUAUUGCACAAUGGGGGAAACCCUGAUGCAGCGACGCCGCGUGAGUGAAGAAGUAAUUCGUUAUGUAAAGCUCUCUCAGCAGGGAAGAAAAUGACGGUACCUGAGUAAGAAGCCCCGGCUAACUACGUGCCAGCAGCCGCGGUAAUACGUAUGGGGCAAGCGUUAUCCGGAUUUACUGGGUGUAAAGGGAGCGUAGGCGGCAGGGCAAGCCUGAUGUGAAAGCCCGGGGCUCAACCCCGGGACUGCAUUGGGAACUGCCCCGCUCGAGUGCCGGAGGGGCAGGCGGAAUUCCUAGUGUAGCGGUGAAAUGCGUAGAUAUUAGGAGGAACACCAGUGGCGAAGGCGGCCUGCUGGACGGUGUACUGACGCUGAGGCUCGAAAGCGUGGGGAGCAAACAGGAUUAGAUACCCGCGUA
rnacentral:rRNA from 1 species